UACGAAGGACCCGAGCGUUAUCCGGAUUUAUUGGGUUUAAAGGGUGCGUAGGCGGAUUGGUAAGUCAGUGGUGAAAUCCGGCAGCUUAACUGCAGAACUGCCAUUGAAACUGCCAGUCUUGAGUACAUUUGAAGCGGGCGGAAUGUGUCAUGUAGCGGUGAAAUGCAUAGAUAUGACACAGAACACCCAUUGCGAAGGCAGCUCGCUAAACUGUAACUGACGCUGAGGCACGAAAGCGUGGGGAGCAAACAGG
rnacentral:rRNA from 1 species